GUACAUUUUACUGAAUUUUUUGCCUCAUGCAACCUUUUCUCACCGAUCAAACAUGUUUGAUACGUGAGAAAAGGUUGCAUGAGGCAAAAAAUUCAGGAAAAUGUAC